AGAGUUUGAUCCUGGCUCAGAUUGAACGCUGGCGGCAUGCCUUACACAUGCAGGUCGAACGGCAGCGCGGGGCAACCUGGCGGCGAGUGGCGAACGGGUGAGUAAUAUAUCGGAACGUACCCUGGAGUGGGGGAUAACGUAGCGAAAGUUACGCUAAUACCGCAUACGAUCUAAGGAUGAAAGUGGGGGAUCGCAAGACCUCAUGCUCCUGGAGCGGCCGAUAUCUGAUUAGCUAGUUGGCGGGGUAAAAGCCCACCAAGGCAACGAUCAGUAGCUGGUCUGAGAGGACGACCAGCCACACUGGAACUGAGACACGGUCCAGACUCCUACGGGAGGCAGCAGUGGGGAAUUUUGGACAAUGGGCGCAAGCCUGAUCCAGCAAUGCCGCGUGAGUGAAGAAGGCCUUCGGG
rnacentral:rRNA from 1 species